GAAAUUUGGACUGGGCUGUGUGCUUCUCCUAUACUGUUCUCCAGCUACUUCUGGAUGAAGAGGAAGGGAAUGGAGGUCUUGAAAGGUGGAAGAGAAAUGUUAGCUGCAUAUCAGACCCAGAAAAUACAGCAAGUUUUUUCUGGGAAAUGCUUGGGCCCGCGGCCGCCUGACCACGCGGGCUGGAGGAUCGGACGUACCGCCGGUGCCCCACCAGGAGAGGAAGGCAUGGUUGGGAUGCGCAGCCCUCCCACGAGGCCCAUAGCGCCCCAGGGCCCUAGGGAUUGACUGGGACCUCUGACUGGCAGAGUCCACCUGCUUGAUACACUUAUUUGAGAAGGGAGGCCUGGGACUAUCUUACUCCUUUUAGGAAAACCCAACUGUAGCUGCUAUCCCUUUGGUUCAGGCCACAAGGAAGAAUUGUAGGUUACCAUGAAUCCAUGAACCCCUCUUCAGUAUACAAAGUCCACUUUCAUGACGGAAGAAUUGGAAAGCUCCCUCCAGAGUUGUCAG
rnacentral:lncRNA from 1 species